CCUACGGGGGCUGCAGUGGGGAAUAUUGCACAAUGGGCGCAAGCCUGAUGCAGCCAUGCCGCGUGUGUGAAGAAGGCCUUCGGGUUGUAAAGCACUUUCAGCGGGGAGGAAGGCGGUGAGGUUGAUAACCUCAUCGAUUGACGUUACCCGCAGAAGAAGCACCGGCUAACUCCGUGCCAGCAGCCGCGGUAAUACGGAGGGUGCAAGCGUUAACCGGAAUUACUGGGCGUAAAGCGCACGCAGGCGGUCUGUCAAGUCGGAUGUGAAAUCCCCGGGCUCAACCUGGGAACUGCAUUCGAAACUGGCAGGCUAGAGUCUUGUAGAGGGGGGUAGAAUUCCAGGUGUAGCGGUGAAAUGCGUAGAGAUCUGGAGGAAUACCGGUGGCGAAGGCGGCCCCCUGGACAAAGACUGACGCUCAGGUGCGAAAGCGUGGGGAGCAAGCAGGAUUAGAUACCCCGGUAGUC
rnacentral:rRNA from 1 species